UCGUUGGUGACCAGCGGAGGGAUCAUUGCUGGAACGCGCUUCGGCGCACCCAGAAACCCUUUGUGAACUUAUACCUAUUGUUGCCUCGGCGUAGGCCGGCCUCUUCACUGAGGCCCCCUGGAAACAGGGAGCAGCCCGCCGGCGGCCAACCAAACUCUUGUUUCUAUAGUGAAUCUCUGAGUAAAAAACAUAAAUGAAUCAAAACUUUCAACAACGGAUCUCUUGGUUCUGGCAUCGAUGAAGAACGCAGCGAAAUGCGAUAAGUAAUGUGAAUUGCAGAAUUCAGUGAAUCAUCGAAUCUUUGAACGCACAUUGCGCCCUCUGGUAUUCCGGAGGGCAUGCCUGUUCGAGCGUCAUUUCAACCCUCAAGCCUGGCUUGGUGAUGGGGCACUGCCUGUAAGAGGGCAGGCCCUGAAAUCUAGUGGCGAGCUCGCCAGGACCCCGAGCGUAGUAAUUAUAUCUCGCUCUGGAAGGCCCUGGCGGUGCCCUGCCGUUAAACCCCCAACUUCUGAAAAUUUGACCUCGGAUCAGGUAGGAAUACCCGCUGAACUUAAGCAUAUCA
rnacentral:rRNA from 1 species